GAGUUGCUUUUGCGUCCCAUCUUUUUGGCCUCCCUAGCCCCGCCCACUGUGUCAGCACCUCAACAUUGGAUGGCGUUGGGCGCGGCGAGCCAGCUGGAAUGCCGCGCAGACGGCUUCUACCCUCCGCCCGUGGCCUUCGCCUGGACCAGAGACGGCCAGGUCAUUCAAUCCGCCGCCCGGCUGGAUGGGGAGAGGACCGCCGACGGCUUCUACAGAGCGGCCGCCAACCUCACGUACUACCCGAGUCGAUGGGACCAGAACGCAACGUUUGGCUGCCGAGUGAGCCACAACGGCGUCGACCAGGAGCUCAAGUUUCAACUCAACAUCACCUACACCCCCGCCGUCAGACUCUCGGCCGUCGCGUCGCCGACGCCCGACGGUCCUCUCACCCUCUCCUGCCACCUGGAAAGCUUCUUCCCGGAGGAGAUGUCCGUCUCCUGGCUGCAAAACGGCACGGCCCUGCCCGACCCGCCCGGCUCCGAGCGCAAUCCGGACGGGACCUUCCGAAGCACGCGCUUCUUCACGCUGAGCCGCGAGCAGCGCCGGCGAGGCGGGGAAGUGGAGUGUGCGGUUCGGCAGCCCGGGGCGGCGCCGCCCGCCCGGGCCGCCGCGCACCUGCGAGAACUGGAUCCCCGAGGUGACGCUCGCC